rnacentral:rRNA from 1 species
UACGUAGGGUCCGAGCGUUGUCCGGAAUUACUGGGCGUAAAGAGCUCGUAGGCGGUUUGUCGCGUCUGCUGUGAAAACUCGGGGCUUAACUCCGGGCCUGCAGUGGGUACGGGCAGACUAGAGUGCGGUAGGGGAGACUGGAAUUCCUGGUGUAGCGGUGAAAUGCGCAGAUAUCAGGAGGAACACCGGUGGCGAAGGCGGGUCUCUGGGCCGAAACUGACGCUGAGGAGCGAAAGCGUGGGGAGCAAACAGG